rnacentral:rRNA from 1 species
GACGAACGCUGGCGGCGUGCUUAACACAUGCAAGUCGAACGGAAAGGCCCUGCUUGCAGGGUACUCGAGUGGCGAACGGGUGAGUAACACGUGGGUGAUCUGCCCUGCACUUCGGGAUAAGCUUGGGAAACUGGGUCUAAUACCGGAUAGGAGCCAUCUUUAGUGUGGUGGUUGGAAAGUUUUUUCGGUGUAGGAUGAGCUCGCGGCCUAUCAGCUUGUUGGUGGGGUAAUGGCCUACCAAGGCGGCGACGGGUAGCCGGCCUGAGAGGGUGUACGGCCACAUUGGGACGGGGAUACGGCCCAGACUCCUACGGGGGGCAGCAGUGGGGAAUUUUGCACAAUGGGCGCAAGCCUGAUGCAGCGACGCCGCGUGGGGGAUGAAGGCCUUCGGGUUUUAAACCCCUUUCGCUGGGGACGAAGCUUUUUGUGCCGGUACCUAGAUAAAAAGCCCCGGCUAACUCCGU